AAUAUUGGACAAUGGGCGAAAGCCUGAUCCAGCGAGGAAGCGAGUGUGAAGAAGGUGUUCGUAUUGUAAAGCACUUUAAGUUGGGAGGAAGGGCAGGAAGGUAAUAGCUUGUUGGUUGGACGUUAACGACAGAAGAAGAAGUGGGUAACUUAGUGCCAGCAGCAGCGGUAAUACGAAGGGUGCAAGCGUUAAUCGGAAUUACUGGGCGUAAAGCUCUCGUAUGUGUUUUUUUAAGUUGUAAGUGAAAGCCCCGGCCUCAACCUCGGAACUGCUUUCAAAACUGCCAAGCUAGAGUAUGGCAUAGGGUGGUGGAAUUUCCUGUGUAGCGGUGAAAUGCGUAGAUAUAGGAAGGAACACCAGUGGCGAAGGCGACCACCUGGGCUAAUACUGACACUGAGGUGCGAAAGCGUGGGGAGCAAACAGG
rnacentral:rRNA from 1 species